rnacentral:rRNA from 1 species
AGAGUUUGAUUCUGGCUCAGAACGAACGCUGGCGGCGUGGAUAAGACAUGCAAGUCGAACGGGACUUCCUUAGAGCUUGCUUUGGGGUUCUAGUGGCGGACGAGUGAGUAACACGUGAGUAACCUGCCCGAAAAUGGGGAAUAGCCCGAGGAAACUCGGAUUAAUACCGCAUAUGAUCCAGCAGGUGGGGAUCUUAGGACCUGCCGCUCUUGGAUGGACUCGCGGCCUAUCAGCUUGUUGGUGAGGUAAAGGCUCACCAAGGCUACGACGGGUAACUGGUCUGAGAGGACGACCAGUCACACUGGAACUGAGACACGGUCCAGACACCUACGGGUGGCAGCAGUCGAGAAUCAUUCGCAAUGGACGAAAGUCUGACGGUGCGACGCCGCGUGGAGGAUGACGGCCCUAGGGUUGUAAACUCCUGUCAUCAGAGAGUAAGGUUUUUGGGUUAAUAGCCUGAAAAAUUGAUAGUAUCUGAAGAGGAAGGGACGGCUAACUUCGUGCCAGCAGCCGCGGUAAUACGAAGGUCCCAAGCGUUGUUCGGAUUUACUGGGCGUAAAGAGUACGUAGGCGGUGAGGUAAGUCAGAUGUGAAAGCCCAGGGCUCAACCUUGGAACUGCAUCCGAUACUGCCUUACUUGAGUAAUGGAGGGGCAUCUGGAAUUCACGGUGUAGCAGUGAAAUGCGUAGAUAUCGUGAGGAACACUAGUGGCGAAGGCGAGAUGCUGGACAUUUACUGACGCUGAGGUACGAAGGCCAGGGUAGCGAAAAGGAUUAGAUACCCUUGUAGUCCUGGCAGUAAACGGUGCUCGCUUGGUGUGGGAAGGUUCGACCCUUUCCGUGCCGGAGCUAACGCGUUAAGCGAGCCGCCUGGGGAGUACGGCCGCAAGGCUAAAACUCAAAGAAAUUGACGGGGACCCGCACAAGCGGUGGAGUAUGUGGCUUAAUUCGAUGCAACGCGAAGAACCUUACCUAGGCUUGACAUGCGUCUCUAAGCCGUUGAAAGCGCGUGACCCUUCGGGGAAUUUGCACAGGUGCUGCAUGGCCGCCGUCAGCUCGUGUCGUGAGAUGUUGGGUUAAGUCCCGCAACGAGCGCAACCCCUGUGAUUAGUUGCCAGCGCGUCAAGGUGGGGACUCUUUUCAGACUGCCCGGGUCAACCGGGAGGAAGGUGGGGAUGACGUCAGGUCAGUAUGGCCCUUACGCCUUGGGCUGCACACGUACUACAAUGCCCAGAACAAUGAGAACCGAUCCCGCGAGGAGGAGGAAAUCUACAAAACUGGGCCCAGUUCGGAUUGGAGGCUGCAACUCGCCUCCAUGAAGUUGGAAUCGCUAGUAAUGGCACAUCAGCUACGGUGCCGUGAAUACGUUCCCGGGUCUUGUACACACCGCCCGUC